AAGUCGUAACAAGGUUUCCGUAGGUGAACCUGCGGAAGGAUCAUUAACACUUUAUUCCAAAAUGGCAUUCGGCAAACUAUUUUGACGAAUGUUAUACCCCAAACAAAGCGAACCUUUUGUUUUUCUUUCGAUACAUAUGUAGUAGGACAAGGUUGGGAGGGCGGCCUUACAGCCCCCCUUCUCUUCUCUUGUUUUUUUACUAUAUACGUAUUUUUUCUCUUUUUCUCAAAACCCAAAUGAAUCCUUUUUUGACUGAAACCUUUUUUCUCUUUCUGAGAGAAAAAAAAGUUAAUGAGAAAAAACAACUCUUAACAACGGAUAUCUUGGCUCUC
rnacentral:misc_RNA from 1 species